CUUCCUGAGAGCUCUUGGACGACUGCAGGGAACUUCAGAGAAAGCCCCAAACCACCUCAUGGUGCUGUCACAUCAGUGCCCAUGGCCAGCGUGGCUGGCUGCCCUGUGUGUGCUGCUGAAGCCCACAGCCCUCCAGAGUGGAGGCGGGGUCCUUGAGGACGUUUGGAGAGGACAGGAUGCACCAUGGUCACGUUCAGCGGCGUGUCCUUUGGGGAUUGCUGUCCCUCCAUCUGAAGAGCAGGUUUGUAACUCAAGGAGCUCCUCAGGCUUAGGAACAGCUGACAGCCCUGACAGCUCCCAACGGUGGCACCUGGGCAAGGGACAGGCAGGCAAUGACUUGUGGGCAUGCUCUGGGGCACCCUGUCC